ACCAUGACCAUGUUGAUGGUAAGACUGUUACAAAUAUUUGACUUAAAUUGAGAUUUUACAUAUUUUUUCCCAGCUAAGCUACAUAAAUAGAGUUUGGCUCUCCAAUUCCCUUAAAUCCCUGCCCAUUCCUAAUCCUUGCCUCAUUUUGAACCUAGAGCUUAAGUCAUUUCCUUGCAUUUUGUAAUGAUGCCUAUGUCAUCAAUCCUCGGCCAUGAGAAAAUUGUACAAGAUUUUUCUUUCACGAGUAAGAGAAAGCUUAGUUAGCAAGCACAAGACUAUUUCUACUGCAUAAUAUUAUCCUUGCCACUCCUCUCCUAAAUGACCAGAGCAUUCUAUGCCCAUGAAGCAGCAAACCUGACUUCCUUUUAUGUCUAAAAUUUUUAAUUAUUUGGUUCCUUUGCUUAUCUCUCACUUGAAACAGUUUUUAUACUGGUUACAAUUUGCUGCUCCAUGGUUUGUUUCAGGUCUUUCUAUCAUCCAAAGGUG
rnacentral:misc_RNA from 1 species